rnacentral:rRNA from 1 species
GACGAACGCUGGCGGCGUGCUUAACACAUGCAAGUCGAACGGUGACGCUAGAGCUUGCUCUGGUUGAUCAGUGGCGAACGGGUGAGUAACACGUGAGUAACCUGCCCUUGACUCUGGGAUAACUCCGGGAAACCGGGGCUAAUACCGGAUACGAGACGCGAUCGCAUGGUCGGCGUCUGGAAAGUUUUUCGGUCAAGGAUGGACUCGCGGCCUAUCAGCUAGUUGGUGAGGUAACGGCUCACCAAGGCGUCGACGGGUAGCCGGCCUGAGAGGGCGACCGGCCACACUGGGACUGAGACACGGCCCAGACUCCUACGGGAGGCAGCAGUGGGGAAUAUUGCACAAUGGGCGAAAGCCUGAUGCAGCGACGCCGCGUGAGGGAUGAAGGCCUUCGGGUUGUAAACCUCUUUCAGUAGGGAAGAAGCGAAAGUGACGUACCUGCAGAAGAGCG